GCUGGCUGCGUCGUCCAGCAGGUCUGUCUCGCCAAAGUACUCGCCAUCGCCCAAGAGGGCUAUCCGCAGCUCUUCGCCUCGUGGACCUUUGCUGAUGACCUCGGCCUGACCGCUGGCCACAAUAAAGAAUUUCUGCUUGUCCUUGCUCUGCUCUACAAAGAGUUCGCCAAUGCCAACGGGGGUGGUCUCGAAUGAGUCUACCAAACGUUUUACAAUAUCGUCCUCGAACUCAGAGAACAAGGGUAUGGAUUUGAGACUCUUGGCCGAGAAAGUGGGCUCGCCAUUGAGGUACUCUAUGUUCAGUCGCUCGCUCUUGCGGAGCUCUACUUUGGUGCGGUUGACGCGGAAGGUGCCACCCGAAACUUGAACCCAAGGCAAUAAUUUGAGAAGAAGUCGAGGGGUGAUGCUGCCCAUCUGAGGGGCGGUCUUGGUGGUUGUGGCCAGCCUGCGGGCUGUUGUUGUUGUCACACUGCGCUG
rnacentral:antisense_RNA from 1 species